CGGGCGUGAUGGCUGGCUGGAUAAGGAUGGAGAGACAGUACGCUCGCUGUCGUUUAUUGUAUGACCCCUAACUGGGCGCUGAGCUAGAGAGGAGACCUUCGACCUCCUGUCUGGACGGACUUACAGCAAACUUACUGAGGUCAAUCAGCUGGGAUGAACAGGCCAUGAAACAGGCACUUGUCAGCUCUCUGUCCCCCUCCACCUGUCAGCUCAGUUCUGGAAUAAAAACACCCACUCCUUCACCAGUGACUCAGCCACAGGUGCACACACACUGGUUACCGGGGAAACAGAUCCAAGAUGGCCGGCGCUGUCCCAGUGCUCAUGUUUCAGCCGCGCUACAGAGCAGGUAACAGAGGGCCAAUGCAGAGUGUCGGCUGUUCCCAGACCACAUCAGGAGCCAGGGGGCAGCUGCCAAUUUGUCCUGGUAGCCCUGGUGGUGAAAGGGUUAAGCACGCAAUCAGGAGUAUCUCUUUCUCUCUGAUAGGAGAGCAUGGGGAGUUGUGCCCCAAGCAGCCUCAGCUCCAGACCCUGGUCCUCUCUCUCUCCAUCCUCUCCUCUCCUCGCUUCACUGAUUGCUCAACGCUAGGUGCAAUUAUACAUCAGACAGCGUAGAGAGACCGGACACUUACCUCUGAUGAAACCAAACUGUGAGUGAGUGUGAGAGUGUAUAUGUGUGUGUGUGUGUGUGUUGUUAAACACAACAAUCACCACAGAGAGUACUCCUCAAGCUGAACGGAAAAGUGAGAAAACAGAACUUCCUGAUGCUGUGUGUUGUCAGAUAACGUCAUUUAUUGGCCCAGUAAGCGACGGUAGAGCACACACACACACCUCGG